rnacentral:rRNA from 1 species
GACGAACGCUGGCGGCGUGCCUAAUACAUGCAAGUCGAGCGAAUGGAUGGGAGCUUGCUCCCUGAAGUUAGCGGCGGACGGGUGAGUAACACGUGGGCAACCUGCCUGUAAGGCUGGGAUAACUUCGGGAAACCGGAGCUAAUACCGGAUACAUUCUUUCUUCGCCUGAAGAAAGAUGGAAAGAUGGUUUCGGCUAUCACUUACAGAUGGGCCCGCGGCGCAUUAGCUAGUUGGUGAGGUAACGGCUCACCAAGGCAACGAUGCGUAGCCGACCUGAGAGGGUGAUCGGCCACACUGGGACUGAGACACGGCCCAGACUCCUACGGGAGGCAGCAGUAGGGAAUCUUCCGCAGUGGACGAAAGUCUGACGGAGCAACGCCGCGUGAGCGAAGAAGGCCUUCGGGUCGUAAAGCUCUGUUGUUAGGGAAGAACAAGUACCAGAGUAACUGCUGGUACCUUGACGGUACCUAACCAGAAAGCCACGGCUAACUACGUGCCAGCCGCCGCCGUAACAC